rnacentral:rRNA from 1 species
ACGAACGCUGGCGGCGUGCUUAACACAUGCAAGUCGAACGGUGAAGCGCCUUCCUUUUUGGUGGGUGUGGAUGAGUGGCGAACGGGUGAGUAACACGUGAGUAACCUGCCCCCUUCUUCUGGAUAACCGCAUGAAAGUGUGGCUAAUACGGGAUAUUCUGGGUCUGUCGCAUGAUGGGUCUGGGAAAGAUAUUGUUUCGGUGGGGGAUGGGCUCGCGGCCUAUCAGCUUGUUGGUGGGGUGAUGGCCUACCAAGGCGGUGACGGGUAGCCGGCCUGAGAGGGUGGACGGUCACACUGGGACUGAGACACGGCCCAGACUCCUACGGGAGGCAGCGGUGGGGAAUAUUGCACAAUGGGCGCAAGCCUGAUGCAGCGACGCCGCGUGAGGGAUGGAGGCCUUCGGGUUGUGAACCUCUUUCGCCAGUGAAGCAGGCCUGCCUCGUCUGUGGGUGGGUUGACGGUAGCUGGAUAAGAAGCGCCGGCUAACUACGUG